GUUGUUCGCAUGAACAACGCUUAAAAGAUGGCUUCUCGCUAUCACUUCUGGAUGGACCUGCGGUGCAUUAGCUUGUUGGUGGGGUAAUGGCCUACCAAGGCGAUGAUGCAUAGCCGAGUUGAGAGACUGAUCGGCCACAAUGGGACUGAGACACGGCCCAUACUCCUACGGGAGGCAGCAGUAGGGAAUCUUCCACAAUGGGCGCAAGCCUGAUGGAGCAACACCGCGUGAGUGAAGAAGGGUUUCGGCUCGUAAAGCUCUGUUGUUAAAGAAGAACACGUAUGAGAGUAACUGUUCAUACGUUGACGGUAUUUAACCAGAAAGUCACGGCUAACUACGUGCCAGCAGCCGCGGUAAUACGUAGGUGGCAAGCGUUAUCCGGAUUUAUUGGGCGUAAAGAGAGUGCAGGCGGUUUUCUAAGUCUGAUGUGAAAGCCUUCGGCUUAACCGGAGAAGUGCAUCGGAAACUGGAUAACUUGAGUGCAGAAGAGGGUAGUGGAACUCCAUGUGUAGCGGUGGAAUGCGUAGAUAUAUGGAAGAACACCAGUGGCGAAGGCGGCUACCUGGUCUGCAACUGACGCUGAGACUCGAAAGCAUGGGUAGCGAACAGGAUUAGAUACCCUGGUAGUCCAUGCCGUAAACGAUGAGUGCUAGGUGUUGGAGGGUUUCCGCCCUUCAGUGCCGGAGCUAACGCAUUAAGCACUCCGCCUGGGGAGUACGACCGCAAGGUUGAAACUCAAAGGAAUUGACGGGGGCCCGCACAAGCGGUGGAGCAUGUGGUUUAAUUCGAAGCUACGCGAAGAACCUUACCAGGUCUUGACAUCCUGCGCCAACCCUAGAGAUAGGGCGUUUCCUUCGGGAACGCAAUGACAGGUGGUGCAUGGUCGUCGUCAGCUCGUGUCGUGAGAUGUUGGGUUAAGUCCCGCAACGAGCGCAACCCUUGUUACUAGUUGCCAGCAUUAAGUUGGGCACUCUAGUGAGACUGCCGGUGACAAACCGGAGGAAGGUGGGGACGACGUCAGAUCAUCAUGCCCCUUAUGACCUGGGCUACACACGUGCUACAAUGGACGGUACAACGAGUCGCGAACUCGCGAGGGCAAGCAAAUCUCUUAAAACCGU
rnacentral:rRNA from 2 species